UACGAACUGUGCGAACGUUAUUCGGAAUCACUGGGCUUACAGGGUGCGUAGGCGGCUAUUCAGGUCAGGUGUGAAAGCCCCCGGCUCAACCGGGGAACUGCGCUUGAAACCGAGUGGCUCGAGUCAGCUAGAGGUACACGGAACUUCCAGUGGAGCGGUGAAAUGUGUUGAUAUUGGAAGGAACACCGGAGGCGAAAGCGGUGUACUGGGGCUGGUCUGACGCUGAGGCACGAAAGCCAGGGGAGCAAACGGG
rnacentral:rRNA from 1 species